UACCAGCACCCCGAGUGGUCGGGACGAUUAUUGGGCCUAAAGCAUCCGUAGCCGGUCCUACAAGUCUUCCGUUAAAUCCACCUGCUCAACAGAUGGGCUGCGGAAGAUACUAUAGGGCUAGGAGGCGGGAGAGGCAAGCGGUACUCAGUGGGUAGGGGUAAAAUCCUCUGAUCCAUUGAAGACCACCAGUGGCGAAGGCGGCUUGCCAGAACGCACUCGACGGUGAGGGAUGAAAGCUGGGGGAGCAAACCGG
rnacentral:rRNA from 1 species